rnacentral:rRNA from 1 species
CCUACGGGCGGCAGCAGUGAGGAAUAUUGGUCAAUGGACGAGAGUCUGAACCAGCCAAGUAGCGUGAAGGAUGACUGCCCUAUGGGUUGUAAACUUCUUUUAUAUGGGAAUAAAACGUUCCACGUGUGGGAUUUUGUAUGUACCAUAUGAAUAAGGAUCGGCUAACUCCGUGCCAGCAGCCGCGGUAAUACGGAGGAUCCGAGCGUUAUCCGGAUUUAUUGGGUUUAAAGGGAGCGUAGGUGGGUUGUUAAGUCAGUUGUGAAAGUUUGCGGCUCAACCGUAAAAUUGCAGUUGAAACUGGCAGUCUUGAGUACAGUAGAGGUGGGCGGAAUUCGUGGUGUAGCGGUGAAAUGCUUAGAUAUCACGAAGAACUCCGAUUGCGAAGGCAGUUCACUGGACUGCAACUGACACUGAGGCUCGAAAGUGUGGGUAUCAAACAGGAUUAGAUACCCGAGUAGUC